UUUUUUACAACAAAGGAGACAGUUCAAGGGCACAAAAAAAAACAAUAAUAAAAAAAAGCCCGCUACUCGCUGCUCCCAAAAAAGAAUCAAAAGAGGUGGCCGAAAGAAAGGUCAAUUUCGGGAGGAGAGGUGUCCUGAUACCCUCCUUUUGAAAGAGUUCAAGUCGUAGGCAGGAGGAAAUACAGAUGAAGGAAAAUUGUUCCAGAGUUUACCAUCGUGAGGGAUGAAAGAGUGAAGAUGCUGGUUAACUCUUGCAUAAGGGGUUUAGACAGUAUAGGGAUGAGCAUGAGUAGAAAGUCGUGUGCAGCGGGGCCGCGGGAGGGGGGGAGGCAUGCAGUUAGCAAGUUCAGAAGAGCAGUCAGCGUGGAAAUAUCGAUAGAAGAUAGAAAGAGAGGCAACAUCGCGGCGGAAUUUAAGAGGUAGAAGACUAUCAGUAGGAGGAGGAGAGCUGAUGAGACGAAGAGCCUUAGGGUGGUAUUGCUAGACGGAAGGUCGAGGACAAGUUACUUCCCAUGAAGUCAAGUCGUUACUGAGAGUACUUGAAAUGCCCGCCAAAAUACUGGAACAUGGUCGAGUGUCGAGGACACGGGUACCCCCGUGUCUUCGUCGAAAUCGUGAUUUAAAUUGUUAUCAGAAUUUAGACUGAAUGUAAAAAAUACAAUAAAUUAUAAAAUAAAUUUUCGGGAAAAAAAUAUCCUAUUAGGCAGAACACUAGUGUUUCUCUGAUAACAGUACCCGUUCCGCGUUUUACAAGAAUAAGGCGUCGUGACGACAACAAGCUCCCCCCUCCGGCCUGGCGUCACGCGGGAGAGGAAGGCUGCCGCCAUUACUACAAUUCAUCAUCCAUAUACAGAAAAAGCAGCAAUGGCAGCCUACAGACACCUGCUACGUAGAGUGGCUCACGUGGGACAAUGGGAAGACCUGGCCAUCAGGAGGAGAACCCGUUUGUUCAGGAGCCGUAGGGAUCCCUUUGAAAUGUACUCGGAAGAGGAGUUCACUCAACGCUUUCGGCUCUCCAAGCAAGUCACCCUGGAUCUCUUAUCAAAAAUCCAGCACCUAUUGCCAGAUUCUACCAGGAAAAGAGGGCUUCCAAUCCCACCACGUCUCCAGCUGCUGGUAACCCUCCGCUACUAUGCCACUGGGAGCUUCCAGCUUGACAUGGGGGAUUGCUGUGACAUGUCGCUGCCCAGUGUAUCUACCUGUGUCAAGACUGUGACCAGUGCAAUCUGCCAGCUAGCAGGGGACUACAUAAAGUUCCCCAGUCCUGCUGAAGAACAGGAUGUAAUGCGACAAUUUGCCGAGGUAGCUGCCAUGCCCGGAGUUAUUGGAUGUGUAGAUGGUGUACACAUCCCAAUCAUCAGUCCAGGUGGAGAAGAUGCAGAACUUUACCGCUGCAGGAAAGGCUUUUUUUCAUUGAAUAUAAUGGGGGUCUGCAACUCAUCCAUGCUCUUCACAAAUCUGGUCGUGAACUGGCAAGGUAGUGCACAUGAUGCCCGCAUCUUCAGUGAGUCUGUUUUGUGUGCUACUCUGGAGGGAGGGCAGUACAGAGGA